GGGGAAUUUUGCGCAAUGGGCGAAAGCCUGACGCAGCAACGCCGCGUGAGUGAUGAAGGUCUUCGGAUCGUAAAGCUCUUUCGGCUGGGACGAAAACGGUCUGGCUAAUAACCAGGCCCUUGACGGUACCGGAAGAAGAAGCACCGGCUAACUCUGUGCCAGCAGCCGCGGUAAUACAGAGGGUGCAAGCGUUGUUCGGAAUUAUUGGGCGUAAAGCGCGUGUAGGCUGCGACGUAUGUCGGGUGUGAAAGCCCUCGGCUCAACUGAGGAAGUGCGCCCGAAACUACGUUGCUCGAGUGCUGGAGAGGGUAGCGGAAUUCCCGGUGUAGAGGUGAAAUUCGUAGAUAUCGGGAGGAACACCAGUGGCGAAGGCGGCUACCUGGACGGACACUGACGCUGAGACGCGAAAGCGUGGGGAGCAAAC
rnacentral:rRNA from 1 species